UACGAGGGGGGCGAGCGUUGUUCGGAAUUAUUGGGCGGAAAGGGUACGUAGGCGGUUUGGUAAGUCUGAUGUGAAAUCUAUGGGCUCAACUCAUAGUCUGCAUCGGAAACUGCCGGGCUUGAGUGUGGGAGAGGUGAGUGGAAUUCCUGGUGUAGCGGUGAAAUGCGUAGAUAUCAGGAGGAACACCUGUGGCGAAAGCGGCUCACUGGACCAUAACUGACGCUGAUGCACGAAAGCUAGGGGAGCAAACAGG
rnacentral:rRNA from 1 species